CUGCCUCCUGAGUAGCUAGGAUUACAGGCAUAAGCCACAGCACCAGGCAAAAAAAAAAUUUUUAAUUGUCACCUUAAUUCCCAUUUCCCCAAAAAUAACUACCAUUAGCAUUUGGUGAACAUUAUUCAAGACGUCUCUCAAUGCAUUUAUAAAAAAACACUGAGACAUAGACUAACUUUAACUGCUUCCUAAAAAUAAAAAGUAUUCAGUCGGGCGCAGUGGCUCACGCCUGUAGUCCCAGCACUUUGGGAGGCUGAGGCGGAUGGAUUGCCUGAGGUCAGGAGUUCGAGACCAGCC
rnacentral:lncRNA from 1 species